rnacentral:rRNA from 1 species
GAUCCUGGCUCAGGAUGAACGCUAGCGGCAGGCCUAACACAUGCAAGUCGAGGGGCAGCAGGGCGUAGCAAUACGCUGCUGGCGACCGGCGCACGGGUGCGUAACGCGUAUGCAACCUACCCAUAACAGGGGGAUAACGGGGUGAAAACCCCCACUAAUACCCCGUAUAGACACUUGGUCGCAUGGCCGGGUGUCGAAAGCCUUCGGGUGGUUAUGGAUGGGCAUGCGUGGCAUUAGGUAGUUGGCGGGCAACGGCCCACCAAGCCCACGAUGCCUAGGGGAGCUGAGAGGCUAAUCCCCCACACUGGUACUGAGACACGGACCAGACUCCUACGGGAGGCAGCAGUGAGGAAUAUUGGUCAAUGGAGGGAACUCUGAACCAGCCAUGCCCGCGUGAGGGAGGAAGGCCCUACGGGUUGUAAACCUCUUUUAGCCGGGAGUAAUAAGGCUCAUGCGUGGGCCGAUGAGAGUACCGGCGGAAUAAGCAUCGGCUAACUCCGUGCCAGCCGCCGC